GAACAGAACAUGUUUAAGAUCACAGGAUAUCUGCAUAGGCUGUAAAUUUCUUUAAAUGAUAGAUGCAAAGAUGGAAGACAGAUGGAUAGAGGAAAAGACAGAAUCAGAUACUGGAUGAGUUAGUACUGCUGCCUGUGCUUCAGGGCUGUCUUAUUACCACAAGGCCAGCAAGCAUCAAUGUCCUCACAUCCUCCACUCCCUCCCCCUGAAAUGUACCGAUUUAUAUGAAAAUUAAGAUUACAAAUUAAAGCCUGGCUAUCCUGGAGUUUUCCAGUUCAUCAGCCAUCCAGUAAAAAUGAUGUCAAGCCUG